AUAUAUUUUUUUUAUCAAAGAAAAAUGGUGCUUUUCAAAUGUUUUGGAAUUAAUUAGACGAGCUUUAGUUGAUGUGAUGCUUGUCUAUUACUUGAGUUUAUUGUUUUUGUGUGUGCUAAGAUUUUAAAAACACGUUUAGAUGCCGUCCGAUCCUUUCCGAUAAUUUUCUAGACUUUUUCGAGCUUUUUCCCAUUUUUUCCUAAAACAAAAUCUAUUUUUAUAUGCUCUAAAAUUCUUUUUUAUAGGCACCAAAAACAUUAUUUGGAUUGAUCAACUCUCAAUAUAUCUCUAAAAGUUUUCCUUUAAUUUUUAGAAUUUUGGAAAUAUUUUUCAGGGAUUUAAAAUGAUUUCAGCUUUUUCUGGAAUUAUUUUGGAACUGAAAAUGAUUUAUUUAAAAUCCCGAAAUUAAGAAAUUCUAAAACUUUUGCAAACCCUAGACCCAUAUAUAUGCCGGCGUAGCCCUCGACGCGCUGCUUUCAGAAGUACGAGCCUUUUUCCGAGCCGCCGCUCGUAGCUCCGUAGAUCCAUCGCCGAAGUUUCGGAUCUCGUUUCCGGCGAACUUUUCCGGCGAACGUUCGGCGAGCGUUUCCGGCCAUCUCCGGCAUCUCCAGCAGAAACCGUCACCAUCCCGAGAUGACAUCUUCUUCUUCGUUUCCGACCAUCGCGACCCUAUACGGCAUCACCGCGGCGUCACCGGCGACCCUGCGCCCCACGCUGUAACCCCCGCAGCACCCCGACCCGCGCCCCUUGGCGUGCUGCUGCGAGCAGGCAGGAGCCGCCGCUUCCUGCUCCGUGCAGUGCGUGCGAGCAGGCCACCCUGCACCGGCCCUAGCAGGCGGGCCGACCACCGCCGUAGCCUGGCACGGCCGCGCCGGCCGGCUACCCCCACGACCAGGCCAAGCUAGCCCUCCCUCUCUGGCGCGACGCAGCAGAUGCACAACCAUGGCCAGAACUUGACGUUCGUGAGAAGAAGAUGACCCAAGAAGAAGCGUGGUUCAUCAAUAGUGAAGACCAGGAGCUGAGGACCGACAGUCGAAGCAGAAGUUGGAGAUCAGAAGAAGGAAGUCAAAGAUUUCUGAGCAGUUAAACACUGGAAAUUAAGGCAAGUGCAGGCACCCUUUGAUCAUAUUGUACCUAUGAACUUUAAAUACAUUUACUUUCCAGUGCAUGUGUCUUAAUACUGCAAACCCUAAGGA